rnacentral:rRNA from 1 species
GUAAGCGUUGUGAGGCGUUGAGCUAACCAGUACUAAUUGCCCGUGAGGCUUGACCAUAUAACACCCAAACA